rnacentral:rRNA from 1 species
UACAGAGGUCCCAAGCGUUGUUCGGAUUCACUGGGCGUAAAGGGUGCGUAGGUGGUUGGGUAAGUCUGAUGUGAAAUCUCCGGGCUCAACCCGGAAAUGGCAUUGGAUACUAUCCAGCUCGAGGAUCGGAGGGGGGACUGGAAUUCUUGGUGUAGCAGUGAAAUGCGUAGAUAUCAUGAGGAACACCAGAGGCGAAGGCGACUUCCUGGACAAUUGCUGACGCUCAGGCACGAAAGCAUGGGGAGCAAAAGGG